CCUACGGGUGGCAGCAGUGGGGAAUAUUGGACAAUGGGCGAAAGCCUGAUCCAGCCAUGCCGCGUGUGUGAAGAAGGCCUUCGGGUUGUAAAGCACUUUCAGUGGGGAAGAAAGCCUUGGGGCUAAUACCCUCGAGGAAGGACAUCACCCACAGAAGAAGCACCGGCUAACUCCGUGCCAGCAGCCGCGGUAAUACGGGGGGUGCGAGCGUUAAUCGGAAUUACUGGGCGUAAAGCGCGCGUAGGCGGUCUGAUAAGCCGGUUGUGAAAGCCCCGGGCUCAACCUGGGAACGGCAUCCGGAACUGUCAGGCUAGAGUGCAGGAGAGGAAGGUAGAAUUCCCGGUGUAGCGGUGAAAUGCGUAGAGAUCGGGAGGAAUACCAGUGGCGAAGGCGGCCUUCUGGACUGACACUGACGCUGAGGUGCGAAAGCGUGGGUAGCAAACAGGAUUAGAUACCCGAGUAGUC
rnacentral:rRNA from 1 species